rnacentral:rRNA from 1 species
AGAGCGAACGCUGGCGGCAGGCCUAAUACAUGCAAGUCGAACGGAUCCUUCGGGAUUAGUGGCGGACGGGUGAGUAACACGUGGGAACGUGCCCUUUGGUUCGGAACAACUCAGGGAAACUUGAGCUAAUACCGGAUGUGCCCUUCGGGGGAAAGAUUUAUCGCCAUUGGAGCGGCCCGCGUCUGAUUAGCUAGUUGGUGAGGUAAAGGCUCACCAAGGCUACGAUCAGUAGCUGGUCUGAGAGGAUGAUCAGCCACACUGGGACUGAGACACGGCCCAGACUCCUACGGGAGGCAGCAGUAGGGAAUCUUGCGCAAUGGGCGAAAGCCUGACGCAGCCAUGCCGCGUGAAUGAUGAAGGUCUUAGGAUUGUAAAAUUCUUUCAGCGGGGACGAUAAUGACGGUACCCGCAGAAGAAGCCCCGGCUAACUUCGUGCCAGCAGCCGC